UCAAAAUCCCCUAACAGAGGUUUCUCUGCCUGUUACCAAAACAUCCAUCUUUUGCGGGAGAGAAAAUGACAUUUCAGGUUUGCCUGCUCCUCUCUGGCAGAUUGAUUGUUAAUUACCAGCUUCCCUACAUGUCCUUCUAGGGGGAUACUUUUCCUGCUGUGAGUUUUCUGAAAAUGACUGCUGGGAAAGCUGUUGGAGAAGCUGGCAGGAAAUUACAGAAGAGAAGGAAAUGGCAUUUUGCCAUGAGAAGACCUUCCCUCCAGAGUCAUCUACAGGGGAUCCAGAUGUUACUUGAAGAAUGUUUUCCUUUGAUGGAUCAACACUGAGUGGCUUGGAGGAGGAAGUCUGCAUUUGCCAGUUGCUCUGAAGUUCAUGUUCUACAAUUCCUCAGAGCAAUGCUUCAUCCUGUCAAAAUUUUAGGGACAGAAUAUGUUUUCCAUUGGCUUAAAUGUGAAAGUAAAUGAAGCAAUCUCAACAAUGUUCUUCAAACGUACUGGUUGGAUGCAUGCAGGGGCAAUAGGAUUGUUAUUUUAAUUGCAGUUCUAAUCACAGUUUAGGGUUUAACUGCCUGGCAUCAUUUCUUGGGUGUCAAGAAGCUAAGCUAAAUGAGGUUGGACAACUAGACAUUUCCAAAGCUAUAUGUUGGAAGAAGAAGAAGACGACUCUGGCAAAUCACUUUCAUAUGAAACAUAAUAACUUGCCAUUGUCAUGCAAUCAUUAGGAGUCAAAUUCAACUCAACAAAAAUGUUACCUUUUAAUCUAUUUUGGACAUACAAGGAAAAAUUAGCCUGGACAACUGCAAAGACUUGAGACAAAUUCCUUCCUUCCCAAGCUGAUGGGCUGAUGCUAUUUUCGCAGCCUUUAGUAACUUUCCUUUGAGGAUCUUCCUCAUGUCCCCAAAUAGCAUGGAAUUUUCAGUGCUCAGUUAGACUUGUGUUUUUUUUUUCAGCAUGAAAAGUUGGCUCAGGAGAAUAUGAUUUGGAAUGGAGAAAAAAAAAUAGGGAGGAGAACUGAACUUUUUCCUUGCUCAUUAUUUCAGUGCUCUUAACUGCUGUUUUCAAGGCUUUUAUCUCCAUGAAAUCAUUUGAGAGCAAGGGAGACAAAGUCCUUAGGGCAGUCUGGAGAAGGAAGAUGACACACACAGUGAAAUAAUUAAGUCCCCUGUUCUAUCAUUUCUUUGCUCACCCUUUCAGACUUUUCAUGCAAAUAAUCAGAGUUACAGAUAAUCUUCACUUUAAACCUGCAAUUGGGAUAGGCAAUUUCAUUGCCGAGCAACAUGGUUGUUAAGUGAAACAUCAUGUGACAAUGCCAGACUUAUGGCAUCUGUUCCAUUGCAGUCACAAAAUGCAGCAUCACAUACGCAUGACUUGGAACAUACUACCAGCUUGUCCAGUGACUUUGCUUUUGGGAAGCUAUUUGUGAAGUGCCCAAAUGGCAACCACAUAAUUGCAGGGACACACAACAGCUGUAAGUUUGAGAACUAGUUCAUAAAGUUACUUUGUUACUCCCAUUGUAAGUUUGAACAGUCAUUAAGCAGUCAGAGCAGUCCUUAACCUGCAUUUGGCCCCAAAAUAGCCUCAGACUGCACCAUUUGUACAGAGCAUUCCUCAAAACUGUAAGGACUACAAAAGCUACAACUGCCCUUUGGGUGCAAUGGAGUUCUGACAUCAUCUUGUGAACAUAAAUCAGUGCAACCCAAAAUCUGAUAACUGUUGACAAGUCAACUGGAAUCAUUAAUUUGCAAAUGCAGAACAUAAACCUAGUCAGAGAGACAUAUUAAUUUAUUUUCACCAAAAAAAGGAAAAAAGUUACAUCUUUUGUGAUUUCAGUCAAGGUUUAGUAUGCUGAAUUCUAACCCUGGACUUGCUUUUUAAACCACUAAAGCACUACUGACAUACUUUCAGUUUUCACUGUAACAUAGUCAUAAGAAGCUGCCUUAUAGUCAUGCAGACUUGUUUGCUUGUUAUUCACUGGUAGUAAUUUUGUACAUGUCAGGAACAAUCUUUUCAACCCUGACAAUCUCUAAGAUGGGUAUAUCAGAAAUUAAAUUUGACACAUGUACUAGAACAAACAGUAAUUCUUCUGUAAUUACAACUCCUUUUAUCAGAAAUAUAGCUUGAUCACACUAGCAAUAGCAAUAGCACUUAGCCUUACCGGUAUAUACUGAUUCACAGUGCUUUACAGCCCUCUCUAAGCUGUUUACAGAGUCAGCGUAUUGCCCCCAACAAUCUGAGUUUUCAUUUAAUGACGUUGCAAGGAGGGAAGAUUGAGUCAACCUUCAGCUAGUGAGACUUGAACUGCCGAACUGCUGGCAGCCAGUCAGCAGAAGUAGCCUGCAGUACUGCAUUCUAACCACCAUGCCGCCAUUUUACCACCAGAUAGAUAUUGUUGGUAAAUCAACUCUCAUUACUUAUUUAUUUAUUAAAUUUAUAUGCCACCCGUCUCCACAAUAAGGUAACUAUGAGAGGCUUACUUGGAUCACAAACAGAUUUUGUUUUGUUUCUGAGCAAUAAUAAAACUGAGUAUAAAUAGAAGAAUCUUAUUCAUUUAACUCACAAUACAAAUAAUAAACAUGUAAAAGAACAGAAAGGUGAUUCAUUUU